rnacentral:rRNA from 1 species
GAGUUUGAUCCUGGCUCAGAACGAACGCUGGCGGCGUGGAUAAGACAUGCAAGUUGAGCGGAACAUUUUGGGUAGCAAUAUUCGGAAUGUUUAGCAGCGAAAGGGUGCGUAACACGUGGAUAAUCUGCCAUAAAGUUUGGAAUAACUCGCUGAAAGGCGAGCUAAUACCGGAUGUGGUUUUUUGGAAGGCAUCUUUUGAAAACUAAAGCUGGGGAUCGUAAGACCUGGCGCUUUAUGAUGAGUCCGCGGCCUAUCAGCUAGUUGGUGAGGUAAAAGCUUACCAAGGCUAAGACGGGUAGCUGGUCUGAGAGGACGACCAGCCACACUGGAACUGAGACACGGUCCAGACACCUACGGGUGGCAGCAGUGGGGAAUAUUGGACAAUGGGCGCAAGCCUGAUCCAGCAAUGCCGCGUGUGUGAAGAAGGCCUCGGUU